GCUCAGGUCGCUUAGCCUGGUAGAGCGCUGGUCUGCUAAACCAGUACGAGUUAAUCGUGCGUGGGUUCGAAUCCCACCCUGAGCG
rnacentral:tRNA from 1 species